rfam:Rhizoctonia solani AG-1 IA unplaced genomic scaffold scaffold1, whole genome shotgun sequence.
AGCGGUAUAGUGAAGUGGUUAACACGGGAGGUUUAAGUCCAUUGGCUGAUUUCUCCUGCCGAAAGGCGUCGUGGGUUCGAACCCCACUGCCGCUA